ncrna:unclassified sequences IMES-1 RNA motif
UUGAUUCCGACUAACGAUCAACUGCAGACGGGAAGUAGGGAGAAUCGAAGAGGUAGAGCCCAUAGGGUGAAAGCGUUUAUAAGAGUCGGCGAUAAAAAAGAGCUUAUAAACCCACCAAGAUUUCAAGAGAAAGAAAUCAAGGAGCUAGAGAAAAUCUCACUUUAGACCCCUAAGGAACUCGAAUUAAAAAGA